UACGUAGGGGGCGAGCGUUGUCCGAAGUUACUGGGCGUAAAGCGCGCGUAGGCGGCCUUCUAAGUCGAACGUGAAAUCCCCGGGCCCAACCCGGGAACUGCGUCCGAUACUGGGAGGCUUGAAUCCGGGAGAGGGAUGUGGAAUUCCAGGUGUAGCGGUGAAAUGCGUAGAUAUCUGGAGGAACACCGGUGGCGAAGGCGGCAUCCUGGACCGGUAUUGACGCUGAGGCGCGAAAGCCAGGGGAGCAAACGGG
rnacentral:rRNA from 1 species